rnacentral:rRNA from 1 species
CNGNNGGGGGGGGGGCCUAAACACAUGCAAGUCGAGCGGUAGAGAGAAGCUUGCUUCUCUUGAGAGCGGCGGACGGGUGAGUAAUGCCUAGGAAUCUGCCUAGUGGUGGGGGAUAACGUUCGGAAACGGACGCUAAUACCGCAUACGUCCUACGGGAGAAAGCGGGGGAUCUUCGGACCUCGCGCCAUUAGAUGAGCCUAGGUCGGAUUAGCUAGUUGGUGAGGUAAAGGCUCACCAAGGCGACGAUCCGUAACUGGUCUGAGAGGAUGAUCAGUCACACUGGAACUGAGACACGGUCCAGACUCCUACGGGAGGCAGCAGUGGGGAAUAUUGGACAAUGGGCGAAAGCCUGAUCCAGCCAUGCCGCGUGUGUGAAGAAGGUCUUCGGAUUGUAAAGCACUUUAAGUUGGGAGGAAGGGUAGUAACUUAAUACGUUGCUACUUUGACGUUACCGACAGAAUAAGCACCGGCUAACUUCGUGCCAGCAGCCGCGGUAAUACGAAGGGUGCAAGCGUUAAUCGGAAUUACUGGGCGUAAAGCGCGCGUAGGUGGUUCAGUAAGUUGGAUGUGAAAUCCCCGGGCUCAACCUGGGAACUGCAUCCAAAACUGCUGAGCUAGAGUACGGUAGAGGGUGGUGGAAUUUCCUGUGUAGCGGUGAAAUGCGUAGAUAUAGGAAGGAACACCAGUGGCGAAGGCGACCACCUGGACUGAUACUGACACUGAGGUGCGAAAGCGUGGGGAGCAAACAGGAUUAGAUACCCUGGG